rnacentral:rRNA from 1 species
GACGAACGCUGGCGGCGUGCCUAAUACAUGCAAGUCGAGCGCAGGAAACUGACGGAACUCUUCGGAGGGAAGGCAGUGGAAUGAGCGGCGGACGGGUGAGUAACACGUAAGGAACCUGCCUCAAGGAUUGGGAUAACUCCGAGAAAUCGGAGCUAAUACCGGAUAGUUCAACGGACCGCAUGGUCCGCUGAUGAAAGGCGCUCCGGCGUCACCUUGAGAUGGCCUUGCGGUGCAUUAGCUAGUUGGUGGGGUAACGGCCCACCAAGGCGACGAUGCAUAGCCGACCUGAGAGGGUGAUCGGCCACACUGGGACUGAGACGCGGCCCAGACUCCUACGGGAGGCAGCAGUAGGGAAUCUUCCACAAUGGACGAAAGUCUGAUGGAGCAACGCCGCGUGAGUGAUGAAGGUUUUCGGAUCGUAAAACUCUGUUGUCAGAGAAGAACGUGUGCGAGAGUAACUGCUCGUGCAGUGACGGUAUCUGGCCAGAAAGCCACGGCUAACUACGUGCCAGCCGCCGCCGUAAGAC